AACGAACGCUGGCGGCAUGCCUAACACAUGCAAGUCGAACGAUACCUUCGUUUCUUUUGUCUCACUGGUUCGUAACGCGUUGUAACCUUCCCUUCUGUUCUGCAUAACUCCCCUUAUGGGGUGCUCAUACCGGUUAAUGUCUUCGGCCCAAAGAUUUAUCGCCUUUGGAUGGUCCCGCGUUGGAUUAGCUAGUUGGUAGGGUAAAAGCCUACCAAGGCGACGAUCCAUAGCUGGUCUGAGAGGAUGAUCAGCCACACUGGGACUGAGACACGGCCCAGACUGGGACGGGAGGGAGCAGUGGGGAAUAUAGGAAAAUGGGCGAAAGCAAGAAAAAGAAAGGACGGGUGAGAGAUGAAGGACUUAGGGAAGAAAAGCAAAAUUAAACGGGAAGAUAAUGACAGUAACGGGAGAAUAAGCGCCGGCUAACUACGUG
rnacentral:rRNA from 1 species